AAGCUCGCCUUGCCAUCGCCGCCGCUGGAGCAAGGUCACGUCGCCGUUAGUUCUGAAGUCGCUGAGGAGCCGAACGCCGUCGAAGUUGCACCAUCGCGUCACCGUCGCUGUGACUCCGCCAAAUUCGUCACACCCAGCUAUGUUUUGCUUGCCGUCGUGCCAUCCACGCGCGUCGAGAAGGAAGAGAGAAACAGAGGAGAGUGGCGUCGCGCCUUGCUGCCAUCCCGUCGCCUGAGAAGAACCACGAAGAGGAGAGAGAGCGCGCGCGAAGGGAAACGCCACCACGAAGCCAUCGCCGCUGUUGUCAUGCUCCACCGCUGCUAUGUCUCACCAAGCCGUCACUGUUGUGCUUCCUGGUCACCGUCGAAGGAAGCCGCCGCCGCCAUCGAUUUGGAGUUGCUGCAAUUGGAGCCACUAGCGGAGGUGAGUUGCUACUGCCCUGUUGCCAUUCUAAUCAUAUUUAACGUCCACUGUCUUGAGCUGUUUCUGCCUUGAGUUCAUCGAAUCCGGAUUUCCUUGUACUACUGCAACUGUCACUACUGCUGUGGGAACCAACUUUGCUGUUUGGCCGCUGCCGAGGCUUUCCACCAUCACUGGAGCUGCUCAAAACCACCAUGGUUGCUACCCAGGAAACAAAGUGGGUGCUGGAAAUUGUUACUGAAGCUGCCCAAGAACACUGUGUUUGCUGCCAAGGGGACAAAACGGAUGCCAGAGCCUGAUAGAGUGCCGCUACCGUUGAUCGGAGAUGCUAAAAUUGCCGCUGCUGCUGGUGGUUUCGAAAUACUUGUUGUGGCAUUUAGACUCUGCAAUUUCGACUUUGAGUGACACAGGUACGAAGAUUCAGUUUGAAGCUGCGGGCGAUUCUAGAAUUUAUUUAUGAGUUAAGUUUAUGACUUGAGAUUCUUUCAUAGAAUUCCCUCGCCCUUACUGCUUAAGGUUUUUAUUUUAUGCAGAGGGAUAGGAGUUGUACCUGAAUUUUAUUUAAAUUCUCUUGUAUAAUGUUUAUUAUUACUAAUAAGUAUCUGAUUAUUAUUGCUUGUUGAUUCUUUGACAUGAUUUUAAUAAACAAAAACAAAAAUUUUUGGUAUUU